UGAUGAUGAUGAAGACAUCUCAUAAACAUCGAUUUUAAAUCUGUCCCAAGAUUGAUACAAGUUCUCACCACCUUUCUGCCUAAGACAUAAAAUGUCACUCCUCAAUUU
rnacentral:snoRNA from 1 species